ACGGAAGGCAGCAGUGGGGAAUAUUGCACAAUGGGCGAAAGCCUGAUGCAGCGACGCCGCGUGAGUGAUGAAGUAUUUCGGUAUGUAAAGCUCUAUCAGCAGGGAAGAUAAUGACGGUACCUGACUAAGAAGCACCGGCUAAAUACGUGCCAGCAGCCGCGGUAAUACGUAUGGUGCAAGCGUUAUCCGGAUUUACUGGGUGUAAAGGGAGCGCAGGCGGUACGGCAAGUCUGAUGUGAAAGCCCGGGGCUCAACCCCGGUACUGCAUUGGAAACUGUCGAACUAGAGUGUCGGAGGGGUAAGUGGAAUUCCUAGUGUAGCGGUGAAAUGCGUAGAUAUUAGGAGGAACACCAGUGGCGAAGGCGACUUACUGGACGAUAACUGACGCUGAGGCUCGAAAGCGUGGGGAGCAGACAGGAUUAGAUACCCUGGUA
rnacentral:rRNA from 1 species